rnacentral:rRNA from 1 species
GCAGUCGAACGCGAAAGUACUCUUCGGAGUGCGAGUAGAGUGGCGAACGGGUGAGUAAGACGUUGAUGACCUGCCCUGAGGAGGGGGACAACCGUGGGAAACUACGGCUAAUACCCCAGAAGUUUAAGUUGCUAGAGGGCUUAAACUAAAGCUACGGCGCCUUAGGAGGGGUCAGCGGGCUAUCAGCUAGUUGGUGGGGUAAAGGCCUACCAAGGCGAAGACGGCUAGGGGGCGUGAGAGCGCGAUCCCCCACAAUGGGACUGAGACACGGCCCAUGCUCCUGCGGGAGGCAGCAGUGAGGAAUAUUGCACAAUGGGGGCAACCCUGAUGCAGCAACGCCGCGUGAACGAAGAAGGCCCUCGGGUCGUAAAGUUCUUUUCUGAGGGAAGAAAAUGACGGUACCUCAGGAAUAAGUCCCGGCUAACUACGUGCCAGCAGCCGCGGUAAAACGUAGGGGGCGAGCGUUAUCCGGAUUUAUUGGGCGUAAAGCGCGCGUAGGCGGUUUGGCAAGUUGGAUGUGAAAGCUCCCGGCUCAACUGGGAGAGUGCAUACAAAACUGCCAGACUAGAGGGUAGGAGAGGAGAGCGGAAUUCCCGGUGUAGUGGUGGAAUGCGUAGAUAUCGGGAGGAACACCAGUGGCGAAGGCGGCUCUCUGGACUAACCCUGACGUUGAGGUGCGAAAGCGUGGGUAGCGAACGGGAUUAGAUACCCCGGUAGUCCACGCUGUAAACGAUGGAUACUAGGUGUAGGGGAUGAAAAAUCUUCUGUGCCGCAGCAAACGCGAUAAGUAUCCCGCCUGGGGAGUACGACCGCAAGGUUAAAACUCAAAGGAAUUGACGGGGGCCCGCACAAGCAGC